GCUCCUGUAGCAAAGUGGUUUAAUGCGUCGUGCUUAUAAUUUAAAGUUAUACUUAAGACACGCGAAGGUCGCGGGUUCGAACCCCGCCAGGAGCA